AUUCUGUUUGUUGUACUUGGCCUGUUAAUCCAGCUUUCUGUAAUUGGAGUUAACUCCGAGGCAAUGCCAUGGAAUCCAUCAUACGCGCUUAAGAGACACACUCAAGUAGUGCCACUUUCGAAGAAUUUAACUGAGCCUCAGCGACAGCAGCUUAUGGAGCUCUGUGGUGGCAAUGGCUUAAAAUGCACUCGUGCCGAGCAGUGUUGCUCCCUAAAAUGCUUAAAGUACUCAAAAACAUGUGUACUUUAAAACGAUAAGAUGCAUAGUUCUAUCUUAAAUGAAGCUAUAAAUCUAUGACAGAAUGCAUAAAAAAUUUUCGAAUUCAUAACGCCA